rnacentral:rRNA from 1 species
UAUGUGAUCGUCUCUCGCAUAUCAAUAAGCGGAGGAAAAGAAACUAACAAGGAUUCCCCUAGUAACGGCGAGUGAAGCGGGAAGAGCUCAAAUUUGAAAUCUUAAAGGGUUUCCCUUUACGAAUUGUAGUUUAAAGAAGUGUUUUCUGUUGAGGUUUUGGUAAAAGUUCUUUGGAAUAGGACAUCAUAGAGGGUGAGAAUCCCGUAUUUGACCUUUAUUUCAACUUUGUGAUACACUUUCAAAGAGUCGGAUUGUUUGGGAAUGCAGUCCAAAAUGGGUGGUAAAUUUCAUCUAAAGCUAAAUAUUGGCGAGAGACCGAUAGCGAACAAGUACCGUGAGGGAAAGAUGAAAAGAACUUUGAAAAGAGAGUUAAACAGUACGUGAAAUUGUCAAAAGGGAAGCGUUUGACACCAGUGUUGUUUUUCUGAAAAUCAAUUAAAGAACUGUUUAUGCUAAGUUGUUUAGACUUUAUCAGCUAACUGUUUAGUUUUGAGCUUUUCUUUAAUGCACUUUUCAGUUAACAAGUCAACAUCAAUUUCUUUUGCUGUAAAAAAGCUUGAGGAAGGUGGCUUGAGAUUCGUCUUAAGUGUUUAUAGCCUCUUGCCUAUGCAGUCGGAGAGAUUGAGGUCUGCAGCGUAGAUCCUUCGGGGCUAAAUGCAUUUGUGCUAAGUUAUAGCAUUUUAUAGACAACUUGUUGACUAUGAUUUGUCUUGUAGCUUACUCGCUUAUGUUAUUUUACCUACGCUUAGGAUGUUGACUGAUAUGUAGUCGUA